GCUUAAAUAGUUUAUCUAGAACAUUAAAUUGUGGUUUUAAAAGAACAAAUAUAGUUUUAAGCA
rnacentral:tRNA from 1 species